rnacentral:rRNA from 1 species
UACGUAGGGGGCAAGCGUUGUCCGGAUUUAUUGGGCGUAAAGAGCGUGUAGGCGGCCAGGCAGGUCCGUUGUGAAAACUCGAGGCUCAACCUCGAGACGUCGAUGGAAACCGUCUGGCUAGAGUCCGGAAGAGGAGAGUGGAAUUCCUGGUGUAGCGGUGAAAUGCGCAGAUAUCAGGAAGAACACCAAUGGCGAAGGCAGCUCUCUGGGACGGUACUGACGCUGAGACGCGAAAGCGUGGGGAGCGAACAGG